rnacentral:rRNA from 1 species
GACGUAGGGUCCAAGCGUUGUUCGGAUUCACUGGGCGUAAAGGGUGCGUAGGCGGUCGGGUAAGUCGGACGUGAAAUCCCUCGGCUUAACCGAGGAACUGCCUGUCGGACUGGAAGGCUUGAGACCGGGAGAGGUAAGUGGAAUUCCCAGUGUAGCGGUGAAAUGCGUAGAUAUUGGGAGGAACACCAGUGGCGAAGGCGGCUCACUGGACCGGAACUGACGCUGAGGCGCGAAAGCGUGGGGAGCAAACAGG